AGACAGGGUCUCUCACCAAAGCUGGAGCUUGCCAGACUGGUUGUCCAGCAAACCUGUCUUCACUUCCCUAGUGCUGGAGCACAGUAGGAUCCUGUGUGUGCCGCGUCGUUCCUGCUGGCGAGACGUAGCGCGGGACAUCUGGUGCCGAAAACCCGGGAAAGACCUCGCCAUCGUCAGCACCUUCGGAGAUCCCUUGGCGACAAGGAGGAUUCAGAACUGCAGGCAGGACAAUGAAAAUCCCAUAUGGAUCCCAGGACGACUUACUCGGAGCAUCACAGCAAGUGAUCAAGAAGGGACUGGGACUCCUGCACCUCACUCUUCUUCCAUGGAUGCCAGCAACAGUGCAGGGCAAGCUACGAUGGGGAAUAAUGUCAACCUUUCCACUCCCGAUGCCGGUGAUGUACCACUAACAGGGAUUUAGGGUUGGCCUAUUUACCUGAGGAUCCACAGGUUGAAUUUACCUGAGGAUCCACAGGUUGAACGACUAAAAGAAAAUAGGACUAUUCCCCUUAAGGGCAGCCUUUGUUUUGGCAUAUUCAACAAAACAUCUUUUGAUCUCCCUUGCAUUAUGUUAUGUAAUCAAUCUUCUGCUUGGUUAAGGGAGGCCACAUGGGGAACUGGUGAGGAGGACAUUGUGGCUAACGCCACAGUUCUCUAUGGUGGUGGCCUUACAUUGCGUUAAUGGUAGCUGCACUGAUCUUACGCCCAUGGCGAUGCUACUUGGAGGAAAGGGCGAAAAGGGACGAUUGUCAUUUUUUUCCAUUUUCCUGGACGGGGAACAUCAAACCUGCUGCCUCUGUCUGGACAGCUACUCAUAUAAAAUAUCGCAGUAGUUACCUGCAUGCCUCGCUUUAUCCCCGGGGACCAUGACUUUAUUUAGAGGAAAAAGAGAUUUUGGUAUUUCUGCAAUUAUUGCUGGCAUUAUUGCUACGACAGCAGUCGCUGCCUCGGUUACUGCCUCGGCAUUGGCCUUGUCAAAUUCAGUACAGACAACCCAAACUAUCAAUGAUUUAUCGGCCACCGUCUCUGUGGCUCGGGACAGACAGGCCUCGGCCAAUACUCAGAUAUAGGGAGGCCUUAUGCUUGUCAACCAACGUAUAGAUCUGGUCCAAGAGCAAUUAGACAUUCUAUGGCAACUGGCCCAGCUUGGCUGUGAGCAAAAACUCCCAGGCCUUUGUGUCACCUCCAUAUAAUAUGACAAAUUUACCCGAGCUGCUAAUCUGUCUAAGAGUCUUUCACAGCAUCUGUUACAGAACUGGACCUCGGAGUUUGAACAGACACUUCGGGAGCUGAGAGCAACCAUCAUUCAAGUAAAUUCUACCCGACUAGACCUGUCUUUGACGGAGGAAUUGUCGUCCUGGAUCACCUCAGCAGUCUCUUAUUUCAAGGAAUGGGUGGGAGUGGGACUUUUUGGAGUGAUCCUCUGCUGUGGAUUAGUGUUACUCCUCUGGUUGCUUUGCAAAUUGAGAUCUCAAACAAGAAAGGACAAAGUAGUGAUCACCCAGGCGCUUGUAGCCCUUGAACAAGAAGCGUCAGCCGAUAUCUGGUUGACCAUGCUCAAGCAACAGGUCACCGGCUGGACAGCUCUUGCACUCCUAGAACCUCGGUUCAUUGCACAGGAUUAGAGUGUCCGGCUUGAGCAGCCCAUGAGGGGUGACGAGCUUAGCAUCGCACAGGGAAGUUUUACCAAAUACGCUCCCUGGAAGGCAUGUCAUAUUGCAUGAGGGUUUCUGCCCCAGUUUUCCCUCCCUCGAAAAAUGGCAGUUUGAUGGGUCGGGAGUGCCGUGGGUCCCAACAACAGCCUAAGGGUAUCUCUCUUGUACAGGUUCGCCAACUUUGUACGAGGAUAUGACCUCUGUCUUCGCCCUCCUAUAUCUGGGUGUCCUGUUUGCUUAAAAAACAGAAAAGGGGGAGAUGUGAGGAGCUGUCCUCACAUACUCCAUUACAAGAUGGCACCUGCAUCCGGCAGAACGCACCUAGUAAAAAGGGCAAUACGCAGGCGCCUGGUAACUUCCCUACUCAAAGGGACACGUACGCUUUGGUACGUCAUCUGGCAUAAUUGGCAGCGACCAGUCAGAGAGUGACACGUCCUAGGCGAGGAUAGUUUCCUAUAUAAGGGACGGUUAUUCCUCACUCGGCGUCUCCGCAUUGUAAGCUUAUGCUCUCCCUCUCAAGACACAUUAAAGCUUUUCUGCA